rfam:Triticum aestivum genome assembly, contig: Triticum_aestivum_CS42_TGACv1_scaffold_579670_7BL
CAUCUACUCCCUCCGUCCGGAAAUACUUGUCAUCAAAAUGAAUAAAAAGGGAUAUAUAUAGAUGUAUUUUAGUUCUAGAUACAUCUUUUUUUAUCCAUUUUGAUGACAAGUAUUUUCGAACGGAGGGAGUAUAUG